GACGAACGCUGGCGGCGUGCCUAAUACAUGCAAGUUGAGCGAUGAAGCUUGGUGCUUGCACCACUUUGAAGAGCAGCGAACGGGUGAGUAACGCGUGGGGAACCUGCCUUUGAGCGGGGGACAACUUUUGGAAACGAAUGCUAAUACCGCAUAACAACUUUAAACAUAAGUUUCAAGUUUGAAAGAUGCAUUUGCAUCACUCAAAGAUGAUCCCGCGUUGUAUUAGCUAGUUGGUGAGGUAAAGGCUCACCAAGGCGAUGAUACAUAACCGACCUGAGAGGGUGGUCGGCCACAUUGGGACUGAGACACGGCCCAAGCUCCUACGGGAAGCAGCAGUAGGGGAUCUUCGGCAAUGGACGGAAGUCCGACCGAGCAACGCCGCGUGGGUGAAGAAGGUUUUCGGAUCGUAAAACUCUGUUGGUAGGGAAGAACGUUGGUGGGAGUGGAAAGCGCAUCAAGUGACGGUAACUACCCAGAAAGGGACGGCUAACUACGUG
rnacentral:rRNA from 1 species